AUUUGAUGCCUGGCAGUUCCCUACUCUCGCAUGGGGAGACCCCACACUACCAUCGGCGCUACGGCGUUUCACUUCUGAGUUCGGCAUGGGGUCAGGUGGGACCACCGCGCUANNNNNNNNNNNNNNNNNNNNUCAGGUGGGACCACCGCGCUACUGCCGCCAGGCAAAUUCUGUUAUCAGACCGUUUUUACGUUCUGAUGUAAUCUGAAUCAGUGCUGAAAAUCGUCUCUCAUCCGCNNNNNNNNNNNNNNNNNNNNGAAUCAGUGCUGAAAAUCGUCUCUCAUCCGCCAAAACAUCUUCGGCGUUGUAAGGUUAAGCCUCACGGUUCAUUAGUACCGGUUAGCUCAACGCAUCGCUGCGCUUACACACCCGGCCUAUCAACGUCGUCGUCUUCAACGUUCCUUCAGGAGACCUAAAGUCUCAGGGAGAACUCAUCUCGGGGCAAGUUUCGUGCUUAGAUGCUUUCAGCACUUAUCUCUUCCGCAUUUAGCUACCGGGCAGUGCCAUUGGCAUGACAACCCGAACACCAGUGAUGCGUCCACUCCGGUCCUCUCGUACUAGGAGCAGCCCCCCUCAGUUCUCCAGCGCCCACGGCAGAUAGGGACCGAACUGUCUCACGACGUUCUAAACCCAGCUCGCGUACCACUUUAAAUGGCGAACAGCCAUACCCUUGGGACCUACUUCAGCCCCAGGAUGUGAUGAGCCGACAUCGAGGUGCCAAACACCGCCGUCGAUAUGAACUCUUGGGCGGUAUCAGCCUGUUAUCCCCGGAGUACCUUUUAUCCGUUGAGCGAUGGCCCUUCCAUUCAGAACCACCGGAUCACUAUGACCUGCUUUCGCACCUGCUCGCGCCGUCACGCUCGCAGUCAAGCUGGCUUAUGCCAUUGCACUAACCUCCUGAUGUCCGACCAGGAUUAGCCAACCUUCGUGCUCCUCCGUUACUCUUUAGGAGGAGACCGCCCCAGUCAAACUACCCACCAGACACUGUCCGCAACCCGGGUAACGGGUCCACGUUAGAACAUCAAACAUUAAAGGGUGGUAUUUCAAGGUCGGCUCCAUGCAGACUGGCGUCCACACUUCAAAGCCUCCCACCUAUCCUACACAUCAAGGCUCAAUGUUCAGUGUCAAGCUAUAGUAAAGGUUCACGGGGUCUUUCCGUCUUGCCGCGGGUACACUGCAUCUUCACAGCGAGUUCAAUUUCACUGAGUCUCGGGUGGAGACAGCCUGGCCAUCAUUACGCCAUUCGUGCAGGUCGGAACUUACCCGACAAGGAAUUUCGCUACCUUAGGACCGUUAUAGUUACGGCCGCCGUUUACCGGGGCUUCGAUCAGGAGCUUCGCUUGCGCUGACCCCAUCAAUUAACCUUCCGGCACCGGGCAGGCGUCACACCGUAUACGUCCACUUUCGUGUUUGCACAGUGCUGUGUUUUUAAUAAACAGUUGCAGCCAGCUGGUAUCUUCGACUGACUUCAGCUCCAUGAGUAAAUCACUUCACCUACGUGUCAGCGUGCCUUCUCCCGAAGUUACGGCACCAUUUUGCCUAGUUCCUUCACCCGAGUUCUCUCAAGCGCCUUGGUAUUCUCUACCUGACCACCUGUGUCGGUUUGGGGUACGAUUUGAUGUUACCUGAUGCUUAGAGGCUUUUCCUGGAAGCAGGGCAUUUGUUGCUUCAGCACCGUAGUGCCUCGUCGUCACGCCUCAGUGUUAAAGUGAACCGGAUUUACCUGGAACACACACCUACACGCUUAAACCGGGACAACCGUCGCCCGGCCAACAUAGCCUUCUCCGU
rnacentral:rRNA from 1 species